rnacentral:tRNA from 1 species
AGCUCAGUGGUAGAGUGUGUGCUUACCAUGCACAAGGUCCUGGUUCAAUCCCCAGG